rnacentral:rRNA from 1 species
GAUGAACGCUGGCGGCGUGCCUAAUACAUGCAAGUCGAGCGAACAGAUGAGGAGCUUGCUCCUCUGACGUUAGCGGCGGACGGGUGAGUAACACGUGGAUAACCUACCUAUAAGACUGGGAUAACUUCGGGAAACCGGAGCUAAUACCGGAUAAUAUAUUGAACCGCAUGGUUCAAUAGUGAAAGACGGUUUUGCUGUCACUUAUAGAUGGAUCCGCGCCGCAUUAGCUAGUUGGUAAGGUAACGGCUUACCAAGGCAACGAUGCGUAGCCGACCUGAGAGGGUGAUCGGCCACACUGGAACUGAGACACGGUCCAGAAUCCUACGGGAGGCAGCAGUAGGGAAUCUUCCGCAAUGGGCGAAAGCCUGACGGAGCAACGCCGCGUGAGGGAUGAAGGUUUUCGGAUCGUAAAACUCUGUUAUUAGGGAAGAACAAAUGUGUAAGUAACUAUGCACGUCUUGACGGUACCUAAUCAGAAAGCCACGGCUAACUACGUG